GAGAAGAGGGAAAGGGAGAAGAGCUUGAGGAAGUUUUUGGCCAUGGGAGGUUUGGCAAGAAAUAUUUAUUAUAUAUUCUACUACUUCAGGUUCUGUUUGAAGUAUGUAUGUAUAAGUAGUUCUUGCCUAUUCCUCCCAUGCCAAUGAUUUCCUAAUUGGGUUCAUCUCUUUCCCUUGCUUUU
rnacentral:pre_miRNA from 1 species